ensembl:lncRNA
ACGAUUCACAAGAUGAGUUUCAAUCACCCUUAAACAUUCCACAUGGCAGUGAUAAAGAAAAGACUUCAGGCCUCAAAAGAGAUUUCAGGCCUGAAUCAGAAGUGCUGGAUUACCAGAAUGCCAGAAUAUCUACAACACGACCAAAUGAAGAUAUCAUCCACUCUAACUCAAAGAAAAAGGUGCCGGACAUGGAUAUCAAUUUUAACAAUGAAAUGGCUCUGGAUUAUGAUUUUAAAAUGUUUCUGAUUCUGUUAUUGGUGAUUUAUGAUGCACAUUUAUAUUCAUUCAGUGUGCAUGCAAUUGUAGAAAUUAAACACUUAUAUUACACAAUGUUAUAAAUUAGCUUAACAAUAAUUCCAAAUAGAAAAUGUGCUCUGUGCUUUCAUGAGCGUCUCCGUUAAUUUGAGAGGGAGCUAAAGCUUUGGCCGGUGGCUGCUGGCGAAAGUUGAUAAUCACAGAAAGCAUUGUAUACAUGGAGUUAUAUGAUGACUAGUUUGGUUUAUUUGCAUUUAGAAGAAUCACGGUUCCAGUGUAGAUUCACUGGUGAAGGCUGAGCACAGCCAGGAGCAGCAAACUGCACAUGGGAAGAAAAAUGUUGCUGCUACCCAGAAAUGCAAUGAAAGCAAGAAUAACGAAAGUCAGAGCAUUGCACCCCCAAAAAGGUGAAUACGUGUGUUGAAUGCACUUCUUCAAAGCACUUAAUAAAUUACAAAUGACUUUUUGUUUGUUUGUUUUUUGCAUGGAUUAUUAUCUUAUAAUUUUUGAAUUGUAGAAAUCCAGCAGCGAAACAACAAAUAAGUUCCAGUGACAGAAUCACCGUUUACUUUCAUGCAGUCCUUUCAAAAGACUUCAACUUUAACCCAGAAAAUGAUUUUAUCUGCAUAAGGGCUGGUGGUCGCGUUGGUAACUGGGAAAAUGAUUUGGUUGAAAUGUCUGUCUCACGGGAUCUCGGAGAGCAUGGAUUUCUAGUUGAAGGGAAAUUUGUAUGCAAACAGACUGAUGCUAAAGAUGUGUACAUCCCCUACAAGUAUGUUGUGCAUAAAGCUAAAAAGAAUGACUAUGAGUUACAUUAUGAAUACAUCUACAAAUUGGAUUCAAAAGAAACCACCAACAGAUGUCUGUUUGUCAAAUCACGUCUCCUGAAUGAUGAAGGAGAGUGGCACCAGUAUGAUGAUAUCAUCUGUUCAGAACCAUCUAAAAAUGUGUUUAAUAGGAUGAUGGGAUAUGUGUGGUCUGAGGAGAAGGGAAAAAUAAUCAAGGGAAGAGAAAUAGCUGGUUCAGUCAUGCUGGAAACUAUCUUCGACCUCCUGAGAAGCUGGAGCAACAUUAACCUCAAAAACUUCGUUUGUCAGCUGCAACAGUUUUUUGAAGUCUAUGGGAACCCCUUUGUAUUUGAAAAGAAAAAGACAAAUUGGGGCUCACUAGAUUAUGGUGAAGAAGAUGUGAGAAAGCUUCUGACGGGGUUCAUGCUGAAGUGGGUGAAUCCAGAGCUUCAGAAAGGCAACCAAGAAAAGAGUACUUUCAUAAAGGAGCCACUGAACGCUGCUCUCAUUAUGCUUUACGUGUGGAAAAGGUAUAGUCUAGAUUUAGAUGGUGGGACUCUUUCUCGUCUCUGCACUGCCCUCUGCCUGCCAAAAUUACCUGAAGAGGGGUUCCGGUCUUUCUGGACUGACACAACAGAAUCAUUUUCAAUAAUAAACAAUUUGUCUGACAUGGUGGAGGCGCUGAUCAACAGGGUGAAAGGAGAGCACAUGUCCAAUUGGAUUAUCCUCAUUCCGCUGCUACACCUGCUCAAAGGCACCUCAAAACCAUCUCAGCCAGUAUUUAAUCAAAUCACACAAUCAGAGCAGAGCUGGGCUGGCCUGCAGGGACUGAAAUUACCACAUGUUCAAGAUCGAAGGUAGGAAAUAAUAAAGAUAUUAAAUAGUUGCCA